rnacentral:rRNA from 1 species
AUUGAACGCUGGCGGCAUGCCUUACACAUGCAAGUCGAACGGUAACGCGGGGCAACCUGGCGACGAGUGGCGAACGGGUGAGUAAUAUAUCGGAACGUGCCCAGUAGUGGGGGAUAGCCCGGCGAAAGCCGGAUUAAUACCGCAUACGACCUGAGGGUGAAAGCGGGGGAUCGCAAGACCUCGCGCUAUUGGAGCGGCCGAUAUCAGAUUAGGUAGUUGGUGGGGUAAAGGCCUACCAAGCCGACGAUCUGUAGCUGGUCUGAGAGGACGACCAGCCACACUGGGACUGAGACACGGCCCAGACUCCUACGGGAGGCAGCAGUGGGGAAUUUUGGACAAUGGGCGCAAGCCUGAUCCAGCCAUGCCGCGUGUGGGAAGAAGGCCUUCGGGUUGUAAACCACUUUUGUCAGGGAAGAAACGGUCGGGUCUAAUAAAUCUGGCUAAUGACGGUACCUGAAGAAUAAGCACCGGCUAACUACGUGCCAGCAGCCGCGGUAAUAC